UUCCAUUACAUGAUACAAUUUAUAUGACUGUGUGCAUCACAAUGAUACAAAGGCCGGGACUUUAAACCUUCUUUACAGUUUUUUUUUUGAUAUAAUUCCAUAAGAGAACAAAAUAAAAUGUGUCCCUCAGGUUUAGCAAGGCUCUGCCAGUCAACUUGUAAGAUUCCUAGUCCUAAACAGAUUUCUUCCCAUCUACACACAAGAAAUCCAGCACAUAGUUCAAUUAUCUCACAGCAUGACCUUACCCUCAGGCAUACCCCAACCAUCAGGAAGACCAAGAAUUAAGGGCAGAUGCCAAGCAAGCAAGCAUGUGCCAAGUCAUUCCAAACUUGUCCCCCUCAACUUACCAGAGCGGAUGUUCAAGCUGGCUGAUAUAUACCCCUGCCUCCUGCUCCACUUGAUCACCCCUCCCUCCCUCUUCUUCCCAUUCAAUUACAUCAUCCGUUGCGGCGCACACGGCCUCCUUGACCACCUAACGUCAUAGCCACCCAUCCUGGCCUUGUAUAUAAAGGUCACAUACAUCUCCAUCAGAAGGCCGGUCCGUUCAUAUGGAUCCCAAGGUCGCUGUUGCUCUCACCCUGUCGCUUGUAGGCGGCUUAAGCACCUCCCUCGGUACGCUUACAUGCAUCUUCUUCAUCCCUUCACUCCUGCUGUUUGUUCAUACUAUUCUCGCGUAACUUUAAUCUGAUGCAUGCAUUGCCUUUGCUAUUGUUUCCUCUCAAAAGUUCAUGGGGGCAUUCCCAUAUAUCCUGUGAAGAUAAUAAUAAUAAUUAACUAAUGUUUUCAGUUUAUACUUAGCAUCUAAGAACUCAGAGAAAACAGACUCAUGAAGCACUCAUGAGCAUGAGGAUUACACGUCCUUAUCUCUUAAUUCAGCACACCCGCUUCCACAGCAGAUUCCACUCAAUCAUCCCCCAAAUUCGUAUGCUCCUCCAUCUUCGCACUAUGUCUAUGUCCAGUUCACCCUACCCACUAAAUAGCCUUUAACUGUAGGUUUUAAGUUUUCUAUAGUGUUUAGUUAGUAAGCCUUUAAGUGUUAAGUUCGUAAGCAACCCAAUAUGAUAUAACCGGGAUCUAACGUGAAUCGAGGGCCCAUAAGCUGAAGCUUUAUAGAUACUAUUAUUGCUAUCACUUAAGUGACAGCCAAAAGCAAUCUUAUUUCUUAAUGGGAGCUUUCCCAUUAACUUAUUUGGAAAGUGUUGGAAUGAUAUAUAGACUAGGCAGAUAUCAAACACAAGAUGGUGUACCUCUUGAUAGCUAGCAUUUGCCUACUACUUUUACCAAUGAUACUUUUUUGCUACUCAUCAGGUGCACUACUGGCAAUACUAAAUCAUGCCCCAAACAACAGAACGCUUGGGAUAUUACAGGUGAAAUGCUACAACAAUUUACUUAACUCUGAGCAUAAGGUCACAUUCAAAGAACAACAUAGGUUUAUUUGUACACAAAUCAACAUUUAACAAUCGUUUUGACAACUCUUUUUAGGGAUUUGCUACUGGGCUCAUGUUGAGCAUGUCCUUCUUUGACCUGGCUUAUGAUGCUGUCAAUGCCAUUGGUUUUCUGAAAGGCAACCUUUGGGUGAGCGUUAAGCAAGAUGUUUUGCAAGGCAUUUGCAAUACCAUUACUUAUUAUUUUUAGCCUUGCUUUGCAGUUUUUUGCUGGAGCACUUCUAUUUUCAGCAAUUGCCGAUAUUUUCCCUGAGCCAGAAUGCAGUCCGCCAGAUGAAAACGACAAACAAGUAUAAAUUUCCUAAACUUUACGAACAGCCUUUUUCAGUCAGCAUUUAUCGAAAAAGUAACAUAGGAUUAUCCAUUAUGUUUUUCAUUUGGGGAAGAAGACUGCUAACAGUACAGCACGGAAGGAACUUAUGAUGAGACACCGAAGAAGAGUCAUCUUUAGUGUAAUUGUCACCGCAGUUGGUAAGUCUGAUGUACUUUGGUAGCUUCAUAUAAAAUAUGUUCUACUCAAACUAUUUGCACAUCUACGUUGAUGUUUCUCAACUAAAGAUAACCUAUCAAUCAUUCAAUGUAUGAAUAAUUGAAUAUAUCCUUGUGUACUCAACCUUUCAAAUGCAAAAUAGCAUUGUGCAGCAUGAAGUAAGCAAAACUUGUAACAUAAAGUACCAAAAAUGCAUUUUUCAACUCAUGAGCCCGGAAAGAGAAAACAUGCCCUUUAAGACAUUAUAAAACCCACAUUUUCGUGAUAGGUGUUCUUCAGAUGAUAUUGUUAUAUGACCACACCUAAAACUUUAGUACUGACCUCGAGCAUAUUGACUCCAAACAAAUGUAUGGGGUUUGUUCAUACAAGACAGUGUGCAGAAAUAUUAGAUUAAAGGAUUCAGAUUGAACGCCUAAAUACAAAUUAAGAUCAUAGACAUGAUUUAACAAGUGAUACUGGCAGUAAAACUUUAGGACCUGUUCAGUGUUUAAUAGAGUUAUGAUCGAAAAUAGUUCUAUUUCAACAGCACAUGUUAAACACCUGAAACUAAUUCAAUCUUGGCAAGUGAUAGCAGCAGUAGUUUUCCAUAAAGUACGCAUGAUAGCAGAAUAAAUCUAAAAUAAAUCAAGCACAUGAAAUUACAAAGUUCUCAAAAUUAUGUAGAACACAAUGAUAUGCCCUUAUAAUUUUUAAUGAUCACAUUCAUGAAUGAAGUUCUCAUGUCAACAGUUGCUGGUGUGAGUUUGCAAAACUUCCCGGUGGGUACUGCAGCAUUUCUCGGAACUGCAAAGGUAUAUAUUUGAGAAAAUACUAGUAUAUUAUAGGCAGGCAUAUCACAUUUGACAGAACCAGUAAAUAGCUUGUAUAUGUUAUCCUUUGCAAUUGAAUUAAUUUUUUACGAUAAAUUUCAAUUAGUGUUAUAUAUAUGUAAUUGACUGGUAUUAUUUUUAUUGAUUUAUGUACCUGAUGUAUGCUCUUUGCGGAUGAUGUGGUGCUCUUUGCGGAUGAUGUGGUGCUAGUCGAUGAUAGCCGAACGGGGGUUAAUAGAAAGUUAGAGUUAUGGAGGCGGACUCUAGAAUCGAAAGGUUUUAGGCUUAGUAGAACUAAAACUGAAUACAUGAGGUGCGGUUUUAGUGCUACUAGGCACGAGGGGGGAAAGGUUAGCCUUGGUGGGCAAGUGGUACCGGAGAGAGACACGUUUCGAUAUUUGGGGUCCAUGUUGCAGAAGGAUGGCGAUAUCGAUGAAGACGUGGGCCACCGAAUCAAGGCUGGGUGGAUGAAGUGGCGCCAAGCUUCUGGCGUACUCUGUGACAAGAGAGUGCCACAAAAGCUAAAAGACAGGUUUUAUAGGACAGCUAUCCGACCUGCGAUGUUGUAUGGCACGGAGUGUUGGCCAACCAAGAGACGACAUAUCCAACAGUUAGGUGUAGCAGAGAUGCGCAUGUUGAGAUGGAUAUGUGGCCACACAAGGAAGGAUCGGGUACGGAAUGACGAUAUACGAGAGAGACUUGGGGUAGCACCGAUUGAAGAGAAGCUGGUCCAGCAUCGUCUCAGAUGGUUUGGACAUAUUCAACGGAGGCCACCGGAAGCGCCGGUGCAUAGGGGACGGAUAAAGCGUGCUGAGAAUGUUAAGAGGGGUCGUGGUAGACCAAACUUGACAUGGGAGGAGUCCGUUAAGAGAGACCUGAAGGUUUGAAAUAUCGACAAAGACUUAGCCAUGGACAGGGGUGCGUGGAAGUUAGCUAUCCACGUUCCAGAGCCAUGACUUGGCUUCGAGAUCUUAUGGGUUUCAACUCUAGCCUACCCCAACUUGUUUGGGACUGAAAGGCUUGGUUGUUGUUGUUGUUGUAUGUACCUGAUAAAUCAUAUUGAAGUAUUAAACACUCCAUAUUCAAUUUCAUGGAUAAGUACGUUUUAUAGAUAUUAAUAUUUCAAUCUAAGGGUCAUUUGUCUAAAAAUAUUACAUCUCCAUUCGUGCAUGUUAUAGUAGAAUAGCAUUUUUGCAGUUAUUCUGGACGCAUGUUUAUUUCUGGCCCAUAACACUGCCAACAUAUCAAAUAAGUAUGAACAAGACACUGACUAAUGUAGAGUGGUAGUUUAUGUUGUAUAUCCCAUUAAUCUUAUCUACCUUUCAGGGAUUCCGUGUUGGCCUUAACUUGGUUAUUGCUAUAGCUCUACACUACAUCCCGGAGGUAAUUGAAUCUAUAAUGGCUUUUAGAUGGAACAGGGAAUGGGUAUGGAGCAGAANNNNNNNNNNNNNNNNNNNNNNNNNNNNNNNNNNNNNNNNNNNNNNNNNNNNNNNNNNNNNNNNNNNNNNNNNNNNNNNNNNNNNNNNNNNNNNNNNNNNNNNNNNNNNNNNNNNNNNNNNNNNNNNNNNNNNNNNNNNNNNNNNNNNNNNNNNNNNNNNNNNNNNNNNNNNNNNNNNNNNNNNNNNNNNNNNNNNNNNNNNNNNNNNNNNNNNNNNNNNNNNNNNNNNNNNNNNNNNNNNNNNNNNNNNNNNNNNNNNNNNNNNNNNNNNNNNNNNNNNNNNNNNNNNNNNNNNNNNNNNNNNNNNNNNNNNNNNNNNNNNNNNNNNNNNNNNNNNNNNNNUAGGUGUAGCAGAGAUGCGCAUGUUGAGAUGGAUAUGUGGCCACACAAGGAAGGAUCGGGUACGGAAUGACGAUAUACGAGAGAGACUUGGGGUAGCACCGAUUGAAGAGAAGCUGGUCCAGCAUCGUCUCAGAUGGUUUGGACAUAUUCAACGGAGGCCACCGGAAGCGCCGGUGCAUAGGGGACGGAUAAAGCGUGCUGAGAAUGUUAAGAGGGGUCGUGGUAGACCAAACUUGACAUGGGAGGAGUCCGUUAAGAGAGACCUGAAGGUUUGAAAUAUCGACAAAGACUUAGCCAUGGACAGGGGUGCGUGGAAGUUAGCUAUCCACGUUCCAGAGCCAUGACUUGGCUUCGAGAUCUUAUGGGUUUCAACUCUAGCCUACCCCAACUUGUUUGGGACUGAAAGGCUUGGUUGUUGUUGUUGUUGUAUGUACCUGAUAAAUCAUAUUGAAGUAUUAAACACUCCAUAUUCAAUUUCAUGGAUAAGUACGUUUUAUAGAUAUUAAUAUUUCAAUCUAAGGGUCAUUUGUCUAAAAAUAUUACAUCUCCAUUCGUGCAUGUUAUAGUAGAAUAGCAUUUUUGCAGUUAUUCUGGACGCAUGUUUAUUUCUGGCCCAUAACACUGCCAACAUAUCAAAUAAGUAUGAACAAGACACUGACUAAUGUAGAGUGGUAGUUUAUGUUGUAUAUCCCAUUAAUCUUAUCUACCUUUCAGGGAUUCCGUGUUGGCCUUAACUUGGUUAUUGCUAUAGCUCUACACUACAUCCCGGAGGUAAUUGAAUCUAUAAUGGCUUUUAGAUGGAACAGGGAAUGGGUAUGGAGCAGAAAAUGUCAUCUAAGUAUCUACAGUCGCUCUAAACUAUAUCCGUUUUGGCGGAAACUGGAAGUGGAACUUCCAUUCCCAGUCUCAGUCAACCGCCAACAUACAAAAUUGGGACUUAGAUACUUCCCACGUUUUUACGGUGCAAAUGCAUAGGAGAUCUGUCAUUUAAGAUAUAUAAUAGUACAAUACUAUAUUGUGGUGAAGUUUUAUACAACUGAUUCUUAUGAAAAAUUGGUAUGUUUCUAAUGACAUAGCUAAGUUUACAAGACCAAAGAAUCUGCUAAUACUUGUAGCAAUUUUCUGUUCGUGUGCAGGGUAUUGCCGUAGCUCUCCCUGCAUAUUUUGCCACUUGCAGGUACUGGCUAAAAUUAUUAUACAAAUAUGCAUCAUAUAUUUUACACUCUCCCCUUCAGGCCUUCACUAUUAACUGUCCCUGGCCUGAGAAGUCUCAACUUCGAAAUAACUAUCCAUCGAGGGGUUAAUAGGUUAAUGCAAUACUCCAUUCUACACCGAUUUUAAUGUGCUCUCGAAGAGUAAAGUGCUUGUGGUAUCUCAUUUAUUAGGAAUAUGCGUGGUCAUUCCUCAUCAACUUAUUAGAUAUGGUGUUUUCUUGGUCUGUGUGAAUGCUGGGUUGAGGAGACUUCCAGCUAAACAAGGAAGUACAUAAUUUAACAUGACAGUGCUGAUUUAUAUGUAGGUACCUUUUAUAAAAAAACUCACCUAAAUGAUCAGAAAAUAGAUACAACUUAGUUGGUUUAAUUCAAAAGGUUAGCCAAACUAGUUAUAACCUAAAGAAGCUUAUGAUUUGUUGUAUAAUAAAAAAAGAGACGCGUAUAAUUGCUAAAAUACAUAAAAUGUUUACAAUAAAUAUACACUGAUUUGUUUUAUAAGGAAGACUACAGUUUAAUAAUAUUGUUAUUUGUGUCUAUGAUGCAGCAAAUGGCAAGCGUUCAAACUAGCAACCCUUGCUGGUUUUGCGGAACCAAUAGGUGUAAUUAUCGUGGGUAGGUUGACUUCGCUUAUUCUAUUAUCAAUUACAAGUGACUUGUUUAAAAAACGCUCUAAUCAAUGAGAUGCAGAGCUACAUUAAACAGUGAACAACCAGUUGCGACUAAUCUUUCUCUAGCACUUAUCUUUAUUACAUGCAGAUCCCCCCCCCCCUCCUUUUCAAUGUGUAACAUCCUCGAUUGAGUUUGUGCACUUCAUUUUUUCCUCUUUUGUAUCUCAAAACAAUGGCAUAUAAAAUUGUGCUACUUGCAGCAUACCUAUUUCCGAGCAACUUAAAUCCAGAAAUAUUGGAAGGUCUACUUGGAUUAGGUAAUGAGUAACGAACAAUUCAAAGAUGUUAAUUAGUUUUGGUAAGUAACAUAAUACUUAUUCAAAUUUUCCAUUUUUUACAGUGGGAGGAGUAAUGGCAUUUCUGACACUGUAUGAGAUGCUACCAUUAGCAAUUGAAUACGCUGGACGCAAGGAUGCUGUGAAAGCUGUAUUCGUUGGCAUGGCUUUUAUGUCGAUGAGGUGUGUUACACUCAUAUGAUAUGCAAUGCAAUUCAAAGUACAUAAGGCAAUUACCUUUUAUGUGCGUGAUAUAAUCAUGUUUAUAAUCAAAUUAUGGCCUUUGUAUCAACUAGAAGAAAACUCAUAAACAUGUAGUGAUAUAAGAUCAUAAUUUAAUGAGGAAUUGAUACAUAGGCCGUAAUUUGAUUUACAUUAUCUAACAAUGCACUGAUACAUAGAUUGACGUACCGUACCGGUACCAUUUAUACCAGUUGCAUUUUCCCUCACAUCAGUGCAAAUGUGUUCGGAAAUGUCUCUUGACGUGCGAUAAAACUUCAAUUGGCAGCUUGUACUUCCUGGAAAUUAGUCUUCCAAAGGAGAUGAGCGCUUAAAAUUUCAGUCUAACCAAAUAACUGAUAUGGGCAAAUGCACCAUGGACUUGCAACAAGGUAUACUACUUUUCUUUGACAUUACUAUUGUACUAUUUAUUAAUAAGUAAAUUUAAACUGUCCCUAUUCCUUAAAAUUUAGUUUCCAAAUUACUAGAAAUGAAUAGUUGAACCUGUGUUAGCUAUCCACGUUCCAGAGCCAUGACUUGGCUUCGAGAUCUUAUGGGUUUCAACUCUAGCCUACCCCANCCUAAGUAACUAUAGCUGUGCACAGACAUAACAACCCUUGAGGUAUCAUGGAAACCUAGUAACUAGGGAAGGUGCAUUUUAGCUGUGAAUGAUCCUCAGCAACCCUCCACUCAAGUAAUCAGUCAUGCAUUUGUCCAACACGAGUCCCUUACAGUCACAAUUAAUUACAACAGGAGUUGCAUGUAUCAACUUAAUUGUUUAGUGUGUUCUUUUUACACAUAUAGAUAUACCGGACCUAAGUGAUCACUGAGAAAACGGAAGAUAAGUAAAUAUUUGGAAAAACAUAUUUUAAGUGAACUAUACUUU
rnacentral:lncRNA from 1 species